rnacentral:rRNA from 1 species
AGAGCGAACGCUGGCGGCAUGCUUAACACAUGCAAGUCGCACGGGCAGGGGAAACCCUGUCAGUGGCGGACGGGUGAGUAACGCGUAGGUAUCUAUCCUUGGGUGGGGGACAACUGUGGGAAACUACAGCUAAUACCGCAUGAUGACCGAGGUCCAAAGCUCGCGAGAGCGCCUGGGGAGGAGCCUGCGUACGAUUAGCUAGUUGGUGGGGUAAAGGCCUACCAAGGCGACGAUCGUUAGCUGGUCUGAGAGGAUGAUCAGCCACAUUGGGACUGAGACACGGCCCAAACUCCUACGGGAGGCAGCAGUGGGGAAUAUUGGACAAUGGGCGAAAGCCUGAUCCAGCAAUGCCGCGUGUGUGAAGAAGGUCUUCGGAUUGUAAAGCACUUUCGACGGGGACGAUGAUGACGGUACCCGUAGAAGAAGCCCGGCUAACUUCGUGCCAGCAGCCGC